rnacentral:rRNA from 1 species
GGGACACGUGGUAUCCUGUCUGAAUAUGGGGGGACCAUCCUCCAAGGCUAAAUACUCCUGACUGACCGAUAGUGAACCAGUACCGUGAGGGAAAGGCGAAAAGAACCCCGGCGAGGGGAGUGAAAAAGAACCUGAAACCGUGUACGUACAAGCAGUGGGAGCCUACUUGUUAGGUGACUGCGUACCUUUUGUAUAAUGGGUCAGCGACUUAUAUUCUGUAGCAAGGUUAACCGUAUAGGGGAGCCGCAGGGAAACCGAGUCUUAACUGGGCGUUAAGUUGCAGGGUAUAGACCCGAAACCCGGUGAUCUAGCCAUGGGCAGGUUGAAGGUUGGGUAACACUAACUGGAGGACCGAACCGACUAAUGUUGAAAAAUUAGCGGAUGACUUGUGGCUGGGGGUGAAAGGCCAAUCAAACCGGGAGAUAGCUGGUUCUCCCCGAAAGCUAUUUAGGUAGCGCCUCGUGAACUCAUCUUCGGGGGUAGAGCACUGUUUCGGCUAGGGGGUCAUCCCGACUUACCAACCCGAUGCAAACUACGAAUACCGAAGAAUGUUAUCACGGGAGACACACGGCGGGUGCUAACGUCCGUCGUGAAGAGGGAAACAACCCAGACCGCCAGCUAAGGUCCCAAAGUCAUGGUUAAGUGGGAAACGAUGUGGGAAGGCACAGACAGCCAGGAUGUUGGCUUAGAAGCAGCCAUCAUUUAAAGAAAGCGUAAUAGCUCACUGGUCGAGUCGGCCUGCGCGGAAGAUGUAACGGGGCUAAACCAUGCACCGAAGCUGCGGCAGCGACACUAUGUGUUGUUGGGUAGGGGAGCGUUCUGUAAGCCGUUGAAGGUGGCCUGUGAGGGUUGCUGGAGGUAUCAGAAGUGCGAAUGCUGACAUAAGUAACGAUAAAGCGGGUGAAAAGCCCGCUCGCCGGAAGACCAAGGGUUCCUGUCCAACGUUAAUCGGGGCAGGGUGAGUCGACCCCUAAGGCGAGGCCGAAAGGCGUAGUCGAUGGGAAACAGGUUAAUAUUCCUGUACUCGGUGUUACUGCGAAGGGGGGACGGAGAAGGCUAUGUUAGCCGGGCGACGGUUGUC